rnacentral:lncRNA from 1 species
AAUUAAUGCGGAUCUCCGGCUUACUCCACAUUUAAUGCGUAUGGCUCCUGUCAUCUACGGACUCUCAGCUCUCAACGGCAAGUUAGCCCAGCAGAGUCUGGUCAACCAUGAUAAGUCUCUGAUCUCGGCCAUACCUCCGACACCAAUGCAAUGAUUCGCCUGGUAGCGUACUGGUUCGGGUCGUACGACGCCCUCACCGCCGACAUCAGCACAAUGAUUCGCCUGACCGUGCGCCGACCUGAGCCACAUGCCGAGCCGUACUAUGGCCUCGCCCUGUUACAUCACAGGUAAACCGACCCCCACCUAUAAAAGGGAGCCUUAGCUUCUCAGGAGGGGGUUGGGAAAUUCCGCGCCUUACAAGCACUGUUCAUCUCCUCCUUACACUAUCUGCCCCCUCCCUGACUUGAGCGUCGGAGGGCCG